rnacentral:lncRNA from 1 species
UAUAAGACCCUGAGGGAAAGAAAGAAGAUGUAUCAAGUUUGAGUUUGUUAAGGAAUAGCGCUGUGAAAUUUGUUUCCGGGAUUAAUAACACAAGCCUGACCAAAGGUUUUAUGAUAAAAUGGGAUAGAGUGACAGAAACCAAACCAAAGCUACAGCGCAGAACCCGCAGCCCAGCAUGACCUUGUGGUCCUUCUCCACAUCAGCAACCAGCAGAAGCGACAGGAUCCCCAGCCAGGAAUACUUUCCCCCAAGCUGUAGGUUUGGCAUGACUGCACUGAAGAUUCAAUUCAAAAAGAAUUGGUUAAAAAAUUUGGAUUCAAGAAUGAGCAAUGGUACCGUUCCAUAG